rnacentral:tRNA from 1 species
UCUAAUAUGGCAGAAUAGUGCGCUGGAUUUAAGCCCCAAAUAUAAAGCUUAAACUUUUUUUAGAA